CGACUUGGACGAGACGAGGAUCUUUUCAACGUCAUCCGAGAUGACAAUACAGGCUAUUGACGGAAUAUUGUUCCUUCCUGGAACAAUUCGUACAAGACAAGCGAGCCGUUGUAUUCGAGAGGCAUCUAUGCACGGUACUUUCUUGAGCCGUCGAUCCGGCCAGAUAUCUUUCUAAAACGGCUCUGGCCAUUGGCCAAAGUGCUUCGAACGCGUCAACCGACAUCCACGAGUGCGGGGGAUAAUAGGGAAAAGUCACGGGAGCUUUGACUCUAUUCUUGAUGGAUCGAAUUUUCAUGCGGAAGGUAUCUAAAGUAAUUACUACCAGCGUCUUCUUAAAUAUUAAAAUAGCAUACAAUUUUUUAUAGUGCAUGUGCAUCACUUAUAUUUCGUGGCAUAAAUUUUCCAUACGACCAAGGUUUUGUUGCAUUACACUGUUCGCACGAUAUGUGCGAAUGAUUUUUUUAUGUCAAUAGCUCUCUAUAUGUAAGACUUCUUGCGUUACGUAUUUUCUAUACAAUGGAUCCUUUAUAGUACCGAUUUUCUAUACGAUGUUUCUUUUAGCUUCUAUAUCUUUCAUGCAAUGAAUUGUUUAUGUUAAUUAAGAGUUUCUGUCUGAUGAUUUUUUAAUACUAUAAAUUCCUCGUGCAAUAUCUCUCUACGCUAUGGCCAUUUAAGCUCUAUGAAUACUUUUGUCCUUGUCAUACUCUUUCCCUUUUUCGCCUCGGUGCCU
rnacentral:misc_RNA from 1 species